UGGGUCUCAAAGGAAGUAUUUGGUCAAUGACUGUAGCUGAAGACUUGAAGGAGAUAUUUAAAAGAGUCUGAAUUGGGAAGCUGUAGAGCGGAGCUUCAGAUACGUUGGACUAACUCCCAUAAUUCUGAGAAGCAGAUUACAUAUUGAAGAUGGACUGCUGCCUGCUGCCUACACUUUUUUCUAAUAUAUAAAAGCUGCACAUGGCCCAUUUGAGAAAUCCUACAACUGAAGCUUGUGCUUUGACCCUCAAAACUUUACACAAGUCCUUGGACCUUCCAUCAUUAUUAUUGGAUAUAUAUUUACUUUAGACUCAAGUUCUGCCUCGGUACUUCUUCAGUAAGACAGAAGACAUCAGUACAUACCAAUGGAUGAAACUGAACACCUAAUAAAAAGGACAGAAUAGAGCAAAGGAUAGAAUGA